rnacentral:RNase_P_RNA from 1 species
CGAGUAAACAAGGCAGCCGCGGGAAGAUGACCGUAAGGUGCUUCUCGAGGAAAGUCCGAGCUCCGCAGGGCGGGGUGCUGGGUAACGCCCAGUGAGGGUGACCUUAAGGCCAGUGCCACAGAAAACAUACCGCCCGGCACUCAACUUUUGCUAUCAAUAUCAGGGAGCUGGUUUGGAAAUAACUGGCAAAUGAUUGGCGGUGAGAGAUUAAGAGCUGGGGAGGCAGUUUACCAGGAAAUAUCAGAAAGAUAGUAAAAGUUGAGUGCCGGGUAAGGGUGCAACGGUGCGGUAAGAGCGCACCAGGAGCCGGGAGACCGGCUUGCUAGGUAAACCCCAUCCGGAGCAAGACCAAAUAGGGGGAGGAUGAAGUUGCCCGCUGACUUCCCGGGUUAGGUCGCUUGAGAUGUCAGGCAACUGGCAUCCAAGAUAGAUGGCUGCUGCCCGCUGUUUCCAUUGAUGGACCGCGGGAACAGAACUCGGCUUAUUAGUUUGCUCGGUUC